rnacentral:rRNA from 1 species
UCCGGGCUUUUGCCCGGUGCACUCUUCUGCUGUCAGGCCAGCAUCGGUUCGGGCGGUCGGAUAAAGGCUUCGGGAAUGUAGCUCCUCUCGAGGAGUGUUAUAGCCCGUUGCGAAAUGCGGCCAGCCUGAACUGAGGUCCGCGCUUCGGCUAGGAUGCUGGCGUAAUGGUUGUAAGCGGCCCGUCUUGAAACACGGACCAAGGAGUCUAACAUCUGUGCGAGUGUUUGGGUGUCAAACCCGUACGCGUAAUGAAAGUGAACGGAGGCGGGAACCCCUCGGGGUGCACCGUCGACCGAUCCUGAUGUCUUCGGAUGGAUUUGAGUAAGAGCAUAGCUGUUGGGACCCGAAAGAUGGUGAACUAUGCCUGAAUAGGGUGAAGCCAGAGGAAACUCUGGUGGAGGCUCGCAGCGGUUCUGACGUGCAAAUCGAUCGUCAAAUUUGGGUAUAGGGGCGAAAGACUAAUCGAACUAUCUAGUAGCUGGUUCCUGCCGAAGUUUCCCUCAGGAUAGCAGUAACGUUUUCAGUUUUAUGAGGUAAAGCGAAUGAUUAGAGGCCUGGGGGUUGAAACAACCUUCACCUAUUCUCAAACUUUAAAUAUGUAAGAAGUCCUUGUUACUUAGUUGAACGUGGACAUUUGAAUGUAUCGUUACUAGUGGGCCAUUUUUGGUAAGCAGAACUGGCGAUGCGGGAUGAACCGAACGCGGAGUUAAGGUGCCGGAAUGCACGCUCAUCAGACACCACAAAAGGUGUUGGUUCAUCUAG